rnacentral:tRNA from 1 species
UAAUAUUUGGUGUAUAGGCACAUAUCUUUUUGGUGGAUAUAGAAAUAGUGUGAAUCUAUUAUUAUUAA